rnacentral:rRNA from 1 species
CCUUUUGUAUAAUGGGUCAGCGACUUAUAUUCUGUAGCAAGGUUAACCGAAUAGGGGAGCCGAAGGGAAACCGAGUCUUAACUGGGCGUUAAGUUGCAGGGUAUAGACCCGAAACCCGGUGAUCUAGCCAUGGGCAGGUUGAAGGUUGGGUAACACUAACUGGAGGACCGAACCGACUAAUGUUGAAAAAUUAGCGGAUGACUUGUGGCUGGGGGUGAAAGGCCAAUCAAACCGGGAGAUAGCUGGUUCUCCCCGAAAGCUAUUUAGGUAGCGCCUCGUGAACUCAUCUCCGGGGGUAGAGCACUGUUUCGGCAAGGGGGUCAUCCCGACUUACCAACCCGAUGCAAACUGCGAAUACCGGAGAAUGUUAUCACGGGAGACACACGGCGGGUGCUAACGUCCGUCGUGAAGAGGGAAACAACCCAGACCGCCAGCUAAGGUCCCAAAGUCAUGGUUAAGUGGGAAACGAUGUGGGAAGGCCCAGACAGCCAGGAUGUUGGCUUAGAAGCAGCCAUCAUUUAAAGAAAGCGUAAUAGCUCACUGGUCGAGUCGGCCUGCGCGGAAGAUGUAACGGGGCUAAACCAUGCACCGAAGCUGCGGCAGCGACGCUUAUGCGUUGUUGGGUAGGGGAGCGU